GUGUCAGCAGCCGCGGUAAUACAGAGGGUGCGAGCGUUAAUCGGAAUUACUGGGCGUAAAGCGCACGUAGGCGGCUUGGUAUGUCGGGUGUGAAAUCCCCGGGCUCAACCUGGGAACUGCAUCCGAAACUGCCUUGCUAGAGUAUGGGAGAGGGAAGUGGAAUUUCCGGUGUAGCGGUGAAAUGCGUAGAUAUCGGAAGGAACAUCAGUGGCGAAGGCGACUUCCUGGACCAAUACUGACGCUCAGGUGCGAAAGCGUGGGGAGCAAACAGGAUUAGAUACCCUGGUAGUCC
rnacentral:rRNA from 1 species